GACGAACGCUGGCGGCGCGCUUAACACAUGCAAGUCGAACGGAAAGGCCUGCUUUCCCUUGUGGAUUGCGGGUACUCGAGUGGCGAACGGGUGAGUAACACGUGAGUGAUCUGCCCCCAACUUGGGUAUAAGCCCGGGAAACUGGGUCUAAUUCCCGAUAGGACUGCAGGGUGGUGCCUGUGGUGGAAAACGAUUUUCUAGUGGUUGGGGAUGAGCUCGCGGCCUAUCAGCUUGUUGGUGGGGUAAUGGCCUACCAAGGCGGCGACGGGUAGCCGGCCUGAGAGGGUGGACGGCCACAUUGGGACUGAGAUACGGCCCAGACUCCUACGGGAGGCAGCAGUGGGGAAUAUUGCACAAUGGGCGGAAACCUGAUGCAGCGACGCCGCGUGGGGGAUGACGGCCUUCGGGUUGUAAACUCCUUUCGACCGCGAGGAAGCCACCUGGUUGGAAGGGUGGUGACGGUAGUGGUAGAAGAAGCACCGGCUAACUACGUG
rnacentral:rRNA from 1 species